AUACCUAUGGACCACCUACUUACCUGCCAAUUUUUACUCCAGACACGGGGGAUUCAGGAGGAAACAGAACAAAGGUCCUGUCCUCAGGAAGCUUAUAUCACUCUGGUGGGGCAGACCGACAACAAAGAAAUACGCCAUGUCAAAAUAUGUCAGGUGGUGGUAAGUGCUAAGAAGAUGAAUAGGGUAAGUAGGGGAUAGUGAUUGACAGGUUGGGGAAGAGUGUUGUUGUUUAUCCUGGUGGUUCUAGAAGCCCUGCAAGUGAGGUGACAUCAAAGAAGAGACUUGAUGUAGACACGAGGCAAGAAUGUUCCAGGCCGUUAGACGUAUCAUCAUAAUCACACUCUACCGCUUUAACCUGCCUGGCGCUGGCCCCCUGCAGCCAGGCAGUGACUCUUAGAAAGAAAGCAUGACAUUUGCUCGUGGGGGGUCUUCGGUUCGGAACGUGGUCCGUACCACGUUGUUUGCAUGUGUCUGUCUCCCCCUCUAGAAAGUCUUUUGUAAUACUGAGCCGCCAGUCCAGGCAUAGCACUUGGAACAGAGGAGAACGUUUGUGAACCGACCGCCUGGCACACAGAGAUGCAUGAACAGAGGCCAGGAGCUGGGUGUGCGGCACAGGCCGAGGGCAGAAGCACAUCCUAGGAAGGAGGCAGGAGUGAUCUCUAAUUUCAGUCGCUGCAGUUGAUUUGGUGGCUUUGUGUUGGUCUUCUACAGAAAAAUAAUCGCAAACAUCUGUAUCAUGUCAGCUGCUGUCCUAAGCACUUUGCGUGUAUUAAUGCAUUUCAUGCUCAUAAAAGCUCCAUGUGACAGGUACUAAUAUCACACCCAUUUUAUAGGCCAAGGUUCUGAAGCAAGUGGUUUAGCUAAGGUCACACGGCUAAUGCUUGGGAGAGCCAGGAUGUAAACCCAAGAGCCCCUGUUCUUAUCCUUACCCCAUAGAUAUAUACUCCAUAUCCUUACCCCCUAGACUGGUCCCCUCGAUCUUUCACUGGGGUGUUUGUGCCCUGUGUUUCUCAGAAAAGCCAAAGCGUUUUUGAGACUCAGUUUCCAGGAAGGUCAAUGUAAGGCAAAGAUUUCAGAAAAAAAUGAAAUUUUAAUUAUAAGUCAUUUAAGACAUUUUUUUAUGCAACCAUAUGUUAUAGUGAAUAACCCAAAAAGCCAGGUGAAUUUUUAAGAUAAAAAAGGAGGCGUCCAAGCCCUGUUGGUGGGUUGCAGGGUUUCUAUCCCCAGGUCCCCUCCCCUGACUCCCAGCCCAGGGUGGCAGACUUCCCCUCAUCUCAGCACAAGUGUGUGUGUGUGUGUGUGUGUGUGUGUGUGCGUGUGCAUGUGUGUGUAUGUGUGUGUGUGAGAGAGAGAGAGAGAGAGAGAGCGAGCGCGGGCGUCCCCAGUCACUGUGACGUCUGGAUAGAAAUGAGUCAUGAACAUGUCAGGCUGGGCUACAGUAUGAAGUGUCACUUUCUGAUUUUUCUUCUUCAGGCCUGCGCCAGGGGUGGGGCGGGGGGGGGGGCAGGCAGGGAAGGGGCUGAGCCUUGACUCUCCACAGAAGCUUGCCCAGGGCUCCAGAGUUUCCGGUUUGUGCCUGUGGGACAGUGUCACACAAGGCUCAUCCUACUUAACACCACCAGGCAGUAAUGCAGGAGGCAGGAGGGACCUCUCAUCCUCUGUACCUUCAAAUACCCCCGCCCAGGCCCAGCAUCCAGUUUGCAGAGCACAUCCUUAGGUGUUGCCUCCCGCAGAGUGAGAGGCGUGUUCUGUGACCUGUGUUUUCUGUAUGUCCGUGUAUGUCAAGCCCAGGAACCAGUGUCCUCACUGCUGUGUGCCCCAGAAUGGGUCUCCCUGCGGAGGCAAUGCCCAUGGGUGUUUUAAAGGCAGAGCAAGAUGAAUGUAGGCUGACACUUCCCCCCUCUAUUGACAAGGAACUGACAGGCCUCGCAGAGGACAGACCUGGUAAUUAAUGUGCCAGCAUCUUCAUUGACAAGGCAAAAAAGCAAAUACACAAGCCGAGGGGAGUGAGUCACGCCGACGGGGGACAGGGAUGGCGGUGGGGAUGGGGAAAGGGCAGGGAGGUGUGGGGUGUGUCUGGGGGAUGGGAAGGGCUCAGGCGGGGUGAGCUGGGAGCGAGCAGAGCGAGAGAACAGAAUUGUCUGUGCAUCUGGGAGGAAAUGUAUGUGUGAGAGAAAGAAAACGUGAGAGAAUGUGUCUGAGAGCAAAUGUAGGGGUGGGUGAGGAGAAAUGUGCGUGUGACUGACAGAAGGAGGGAGGGAGGCGGGCGGGGUGCGGGCAGCGGGCCUCUCUCAUCCCUCCUUCAGCCACAAGGGCUUCUGGAAAGCCCUGCAGUUUGGAGUGAGGGACAUGCAGGAGAGGUGAGAUUUCAUUACCUUUCCCUUUGUGUGAUAUUUUCGUGUUAGAAAUGUAAGACGGGAACUAUAAAUAAUCCAGUCACAGCUGCGGCAUCCUGGAGAUUUAUGGUGCGUGCCAAUGCCGGCCAGCUUCGGGCGGGGGGUGGCUUUGCUUUACAGAGCCAAGAUAAAAGGCUGCCCCUCCUGCACUUGGCCCUCCCGGCCCUGGCCGCUCCCCACCCCCCCCCCCACCCCCCCCCCCCCCCGCCUCCUGGCACAAGCCAUCCCUCCUGAGCUGCAGACCCCAGGGGAGAGAGAGGCUCACAAGUGCCUAGAAACCCCUUGUCCUGGGCAGCCUGGGGCCAAGUACCAAGUAGGCAGCCAGGGGAUGUCGGGAAGACCAGUGAGGCAGGGGCCAGUGUGGGCAAAGGUGCAGGCCUGCCGUGGGAGGCCCCCCUUUGCUCAGCUGCCACAGACAAGGGGGGACCAACAGGUGGCCCAGCCACAGCCAGGCUCAAGUCUGAGGUCCCUGGAGCACGGGCCAAUGGCCCUCUAUUCCUGGCCUCCUUUCUGGGCAGGGGUCUUGUUCCGUGCACCAUCAGCAGUACGACCAAGCUGUGCUUGGUGCAAGACCCUGGUGGGGGCGGAUGGCCACCCCCACCCCCCUGCCCCGCCGCUUCCCAGGAGAGGGUGCACGCCCUGUUGGCCUGAGAAGGGGUCGUCCUCCAAGAACUUGGGAGCUGCUGGCCAGUCCAGUGACACCCAGGGAAGAGACAGACAGUGUAUUUGGGACAGUGAGAGGGCAGGAAGGGGGCAGCCUGGGCUCCCCACGUCACCUCCCAGGAUCUCUCUCCAGCCUUGUUGUGAGGACAGGGGGAAGAGGUGCAGGAAGACAUUUGAGAGCCAGCCACAGGCUUGUCCUUGGGACUCACGGGACCGAAGGAAGAGGAAGGUCAGGGGUCUCAGGGAGAGGAGCUGGUUCGAGGCCCCCUUGUGACAUGCCUGGGCUUCCCUGCAGUGUCUCACGAGUACACUUGUGUGGCUGUGUCCCACGAGCCCUCGGCUUCCCGAGGGCAAGAGACAUGGACGCACGGCUCUCACGGCAGCCUGGUGGCUACAUGCGCCCUGGCCCCGGGCUUGAUGCAUCAGUUCUGCAGAAUGGUGGGACCCUGGUGCUGACAUGUGCAUGUACGGACCCCACAGAAUGGAGCCCUGGAGGGAGUGUGUGGAGUGGGGGAGCAGAGCCACCUGGAUCUCUGAACCCCACUCGGUCCCCUCCUGUUAGUCCUCGGGCUGUCCCUGGGGCUGAGGGUCUCUGUGCCAGCCUGCCCCCGGCCCCUCCUGCCUUCUCUGGAAACCCCGGGGCUGGUGCAGCCCAGGAACUGCAGGCACCAGCCUGUCACCUCGAUGGUUCUCGCUUUGCUUCCCUUCUGAUUCUCUGAGCAAAUAUUGAACAUCCAGAGACACAUCCGAAUCCUCGGCGUGGGGGUGGGAGGUGGAGGCGGUGACAUAACUGGCUACUUCUUGGGGCAGCUCAGUCAAGAUCAACCUCAGCUCCAGGCCUCUGGCCGAGGGAGGCUGCUGAGGGGGUGGGGGUGUUAGUCCAGUGGGCAGAGAAGGGCCCUUUCUUUAGAGGAUUCCUUCAGGGCAUCUGGUGCGUGACUGUGGACUUCCAAAGCAGCCACACAUGGGUUGUGGCAGGGUCUUUUCCUGGGGCAGUGCGGUCUAUUUUCUGCCAGCCUCCUAAAGCAAACCAUGUCUGGGAGUGGGGCACACGCGGUAGAAUGAAAUCCCCUGGGGUGUCCCAGAGGCAGCUCAGCCAUAAGCACGAAUGACCUCAAAGCAAGCUUGCCGAAUUUCGUGAAUGGCAGAGCCGUGAUAUUCGGAAGGGGAACCGGGAUCCUCUGAGGAUGUGUCCCCGCUUGAUGCAUUCCUGAUGCACCUGUCGGGGGUCACCACUCUAUGCAUCAUCACGCUGUUCUGGGUGGUUGUGCCAGCCAGGGUGCUGACUGUAAGAGGCAGAAAUGGACUCUGACAUUCUCAAGCAGAGAAAAGAUUUGCUGGAGGGAUUGGGGGCUGCUCACAGCAUCGGUGGGAAGGCUGGAGUCCCAGCUUGGAAGGUGAGCAGGAUCCAAGAGAUGCUAGGCAAUCAGCGUCAUUGCCAAGGUCACGCCACAGGGCAGCCUGCUUAGGAUGCCUUUGCUGUUACCACCCCUCUGCCAUUAAUGGUGUGAUGACAGGUAAUUUUGUGUGUCAACUUGACUGGACCAUGAGAUGCCCAGAUAUUUGGUCAAACAUUAUUCUGGGUGUCUCUGGAUAAGAUUAACAUUUGAAUCCUUAGGCUGAGUAAAGCAGAUUGCCCUCUCCAAUGCUAGUGAGCUUAAAUAGAACAAAAACGUGGAAGAAGGGAGAAUGUUCUCUCCGCCUAUUGAGCAGGAAGGUCAGUCUUCUCCUGCCCUUGGACUGGGAUUUACCCCAUCGGUUCUCCUGGUCCUCCAGGUCUUUGGAUUCAGACUCUUGUCCCAUGAAUACUCCUCAGGAAGGGAAAUUCCUACCCCAUCCCCCCAAAUGUGGAAGGAACACUCUGGAUGGCCUUCUCAGUCUGCCCCUCCAGAGUUCCAUCCUUCUAUCUUUUCCCCCAACUCCGAAGUCCAAGAGGCUGACCUGUGUGGGCCUCAUCAGCCGAAAUCCCAUGCCUCUGGCUUCCAGGGUCUCCCACUGGAGGAGACUAGGAAGGUGGGCGGAGAGAGGUCGGGGUAUUUUUCCCCUUGUUUCUUUCCUUUGCAGCUCUCACUCUUUUCAGCUUCCAGCCGUCUCCCUCCCUGUCACAUCAAGGUCUGCAGAAUUCCUUCUGGUUUCUUUUAGCACUGCCUGCCCUAGGCAAAUAGUGCCUUUUGAAAGACUCCUCAAUUGCCCUAGUUGAGGGUAAUGCCUCUUACCUGCUGGCACCUCACAUGGGACAGGAAGUCUGGAGAUUGGGAGGCAACAGAGCCCCAGCAAAUGCCCACAACGUGGUGGUCCAGAUGCGGAGGGGAGGCAGGGUGCAUGGUACAGUGGCAAGAGCAUGGACUUUGGAGACAGACUUACUAGGGUCUGAAUUCUCAGCCCGACUCUUAGUAGCUCUGUGAACUUGGUCAGGUUCUUAACCAGGCUGACCCUUCUUUGUUCUUCACCUGGGAAAUAAAAGUUCAUAUGGAUGUCAUAGAUUUAUUGUGAGAAUUGAAUGAGACAAAUUUUUAAGCACUCAGGACACCAGUGAUGGCAAAAAGGGUCUACCUUAAUGUGCCAGCUCCAACUGAUCAGUUAGGGCUCCUGGGAGCCCUGGGUGAAGAAUUCUGACAUCUCAUCCUGGCCUGGGGGUGAUGGGUGCACUCAUGAUUGAUUAGUGAUGUCUGUCGUGGUGUGGCUUGGGAAGUGGCAGUAGGAUGCACUUGCCUUUUCUGUAGUAAACCCCCACUGAGUGAUAGCUAUCAAGUUUUAUAUUUCUUUGCUUCUUGGGAGGGGAAGUCGGAUUCCUAUCUGACCACCAGUGCUGCCCAGGUCCUGAGGCAUCGAGCUACCUCUCUUGGCACAUCUCAGAUUCCUCAGUAGUGCCGAUGCUCCGACCGGCCCUUUCCUUUGAUCAGCAAACGGCUUCAGCCCUAUCUGGGUUGUUUAAGGUCUUCUUUCUCUGGGAACGUUCUCUUGCUCUUUUCAAUCCCCAAAUGCCCAGCCUGAUUCUCCCCUCCGUGUCUACCACCCUCUCUCCAUAGAAAAUAAUAGGGAAUUGUAUACAUUUAACUUGAAUUUCUCUGCCUCAUGUCACCUCACUUUCCAAAUCUCCCCCAUUAUCUCCUGCCCCAACCCAGGGGGGCCUGGCAUUAUCCCAGCCACACACACCAGAGGAGGUUGAAGACAGAAGAGGUGAAGAGAAUCAUGGCCACAGGUGUCCUACUGUGUGAACUGGAGACUUAGUGAUCAUCAGGUGGCUCUUGGAGUAGCAAAAAAGGCUGUCCUCCACCCUGCAGCCAGUGCAAGCUUUUAAAAAUGCGAAUCAUUUCUAGCCUGAAAACCUUCCGGUGGCCUCCCGCCGCAUCUGGAAUAAAUCCAAACUUCCAACUAUGGCCUGCCUCCAUUCCAAUCUUUGAAACUUUGUGGCCUCGUCUCCCAGUCCUCUGGCACCCUCUGCCUCAGCCACAUAGGCCAGAGCCUUUGCACUUGACCUGCCUUCUCCUGGACCCCUUUGCAGUGGGGUGCUGUCUUGGCUCCAGAUUUCAGCUCGACAUGGUGACAUUAUCGGUGGCACCUUCCCUGACUUCUCCAUUUAAAUUGGUACCUCCAGGGGUUCCUGGCUGGCUCGGUUGGAAGAGCAUGCGACUCUUGAUCUCAGGAUUGUGAGUUUGAGCUCCACAUUGGGUGUGGAGGUUACUUAAAUUAAUAAAGAAAUAAGCUUAAAACAAACGGCAUCUUCAGUCUCUCUCUGGCCCAUCUCUCCAACUUCUUUUCUCCUGGCAGUAACAGAGCCUGAGAGUCAGUUCUGCACAGAGGUAAGUGGGAGCAGCCCCCUGCAGUAGGAAGGACGCUGGAUCGGAUGGGGCGGG